UUUAAUCAACAUUAUCGUUUUUACAUUCGAGAAUGUAAAAAUUGUGUGAAACAAACAUUUCCUUUUAUUUCUUAUUUCUUUUCCUUUUAUUUUAUUGGCUGUAUCAACACAUAUCCAAAUUGGGUCUUUUUUAUUGCACUUCCAAUUUUUCUUUCUUGUACCCUAAAUUUUUCUAAAUUCUUUAAUUGACCAUAAACUUUUCGAUUAGGGUAAAAAAAACCUUUUUUCUCUCCUUAUUUAUACCACCCACACACUUUCUUUCAUACCUUAGGUGCCGCAGCAACAAGUCUCCCUCACCCUUCCUUACCCUUUCUUCUUUCUCACACAUUACCACUACAUCCCCCUCUUACACAUUGCAUCCCCACGUACUUUCACCCACUAUACUUUGACCUCUCCCUCACACACCUCACCUCAAAACAAGAAGGAUUAUGCGACAAACAGUAUAUGUAUUAAAUUUACGAAAUUUAUAUAUUUGGAAUAAUAAUAUUGAAGAUGAGAAAUUUGUAAAUUUUUUGUUGAAUCGGACGUCUAAAUAUGUAGUUAAAUGUACAUACGAAAUAAAUUUGGAGAUUUAGGAUUACGGAUU
rnacentral:lncRNA from 1 species